ACCAUUAAAAUAAGCACUAAAAUCGUACUUUUGACAUACCAGUUGACACAUAAAGUUAAAAUGGCGCGUGAGAUCUCAUUUUUACGCAUUACACAUUAUAUUACAAUUUAUAAUA